CCACCGAGAUCUACACUCUUUCCCUACACGACGCUCUUCCGAUCUGAGGAGUCUAACAUGCCCGCGAGUUCAACAUUGCAGAUGCUGGGCGCGCGAAAGCGGAAAGUAUUUCCCUACUAGCGGAGCGCGUAUGUUAGGUCCCGAAAAAUGGCGAACUAUUUCUGCUCAGGCUGAAGUCAUUGGAAACUUUGAUGGAAGGUCUCAACGGUUUUGACGUGCAAAUCGAUCGUGUGAAGCAGGUAUAGGGGCGAAAGACCAAUCGAGCCAUUUAGUUGCUGGUUCUCUCUGAAGUUUCCCUCAGGAUAGCGGUCCCUACAGAAUAAUGUGCGGUAAAGAGAAUGAUUAGAGGUAUCUGGGAAAGCUUUUCCUAGGCCGAUUUUCAAACUCAGAAUGCGCAUCAAUGAUUUCUCCAUGAAUUGUUGAAUUAUCUUAGGGAUCAGUGGGCCUUUUUUGGUAAGCAGAUCGGGCGAUGAGGGUUCCUCCUAGAGUCGAGAUAACGUGCUCAAAGCUACAUCAAUUAAAUGAUGUCAGUGCAUACUGACAGCAGGAGGGUGGCCAUGGAAGUUGGAAUCCACUAAGGAGUGUGUUACAACUCACCUGCCGAAUGUACUGGCUCAGAAAAUUGAUAGCUAACCCGUAGCAACUAAUUCUCGACGCUAAGUAAGAGAGCGUAGUGGUCGGAUAGAAUCCAGAGCGUGAGCCUUGGUCGACCGGCCACCAUUGCAGAUCUCGGUGGUAGUAGCACUUGCUAAAAUGGAACCUUUUAGGACCACUUGGACGAAGGUUCCACGACAACAGCCAAUGUUCGUGGGUAAGUCGGCCUUAAUCGCGCAGUCGAGAAAAGCAACCAGGUUAAUAUUCCUGGACAACACAGGAAAACGGCAACGUUUGCGCGGGUAUUUGUUAGGUGUUGGAAGGAGGGGGACUUUCGUCCCUCUUAACAGCUGUACGCCUCUGGAACUGUGUGAAACAGAGAUAGAGGCAGACACUGGAAUAAGUACCUCUUGCGGGUACUCCUGAGCCAGCACUUGACCUCUGAAAAAUACCCGCGUUCUGUGGUGUAGCCGUACCAAUAGCCGCAUCAGGUCUCCGAGACGCAAAGUCUUCGGUUCAAUGGAUGAAUGUAAGCAAGGGAAGUCGACAAGUUCGAUCCGUAACUUCGGGAAAAGGAUUGGCUUCGUGGACUUAGUGAGGAAUGUCUGUCCUAGCGAGGAAUGUGACUCUACCGAGUUGCUCCUACGCUGGGCACAGCAACCUCACUAGCAAUACAUGAAACUGACGCGCAAACGAGGAAUCUGACUGUUUAAUCGAAACGUAGCAUCAUGCAGCGUGGUGUGGACAUGAUGUGAUUUCUGCUCAGUGCUUUGAAAGUUAAAGUUGAGCAACCGACAGAAGCGCAGGUCAACAGCGGGAGUAACUAUGACUCUCUUAAGGUAGCGAAAUGCCUCGUCAUCUAAUUAGUGACGUGCAUGAAUGGAUUAACGAGAUUCCUACUGUCCCUAUCUACUAUCUAGCGAACCCACAGCCAAGGGAACGGGCUUGGAAGA
rnacentral:rRNA from 1 species